UAGGGAAUCUUCCGCAAUGGACGAAAGUCUGACGGAGCAACGCCGCGUGAGUGAAGAAGGAUUUCGGUUCGUAAAACUCUGUUGUUAGGGAAGAAAAAAUGUAUAGUAACUAUAUACAAAAGAGACGGUACCUAACCAGAAAGCCACGGCUAACUACGUGCCAGCAGCCGCGGUAAUACGUAGGUGGCAAGCGUUGUCCGGAAUUAUUGGGCGUAAAGCGCGCGCAGGUGGUUUAGAAAGUCUGAUGUGAAAGCCCACGGCUCACCGUGGAGGGUCAUUGGAAACUAAUAAACUUGAGUGCAGGAGAGAAAAGUGGAAUUCCUAGUGUAGCGGUGAAAUGCGUACAGAUUAGGAGGAACACCGGUGGCGAAAGCGGCUUUUUGGCCUGCAACUGACACUGAGGCGCGAAAGCGUGGGGAGCAAACAGG
rnacentral:rRNA from 1 species